GAGUUGACGACGUUACCCUAGCAGAACGUCAGGAUUUCUGUCGCAACCUUUUACUUUCGACCUGAGGUUAAUGCAGGCCAGCAUAACUCGUUGAUGCGGAAGUGAAAGUACCAGGGUCAGUGCCAUGCAAACUUCCUCUUCGAAAGACACGAAGGAGGGAUUGUCCUGCUUUCGCCGAUGCGGAGGAUUACAAGUAACCAACCGUCAACAGCUUCGACAACUGAUCGAGGUGUCAGGCUGACAUUUCAUUGUGUAACGUGGGCUCGCUGUGUCGGAAGUGUUUGUUUGACCAAACGGACAAUGGCGACCGGAAACUGGAUGAUAUCGCUCAGUCACGCUGACCUCUGCUUCGUUUCUGCACGUGUCACCGGCUCCAAUGAAACGUGCAGAUCACUUCCGGCUAUGUUCAAUGCAUGUUUGUUUUUAGCACCGUCUGCUGGCGCGUCAUUGUGACUGAAAUAGACGUGCACUAUUCUCUA